rnacentral:lncRNA from 1 species
GUUCUCAGCACCCAUGGGUGCUCGGUGGUGGUCCCAUGGUUGGUGUCAUCUUGUUCUUGGCACCCAUGGGUGCUCUGGGGUGGGUUUCUGGUGGUGUCGUGUCCUCCUCAGCACCCAUGGGUGCUCGGCGGGGGCCUCAAGGGUGGUGUUGUGUCCUGCUCGGCACCCAUGGGUGCUCGUGGUGGUCCCAUGGGUGGUGUCAUCUUGUUCUUGGCACCCAUGGGUGCUUGGUGGUGGCCUUCUGGGUGGUUUUGAUGUCCUCAGCACCCAUGGGUGCUCAGCGGUGCCUGGAGGCAUUGGCCUGAGGGCUUUGUGGCCAAUGGGUGCUGCUGGUGACCCAUGGGUGCCCCCCCUGCCCAAGGCCUGACCCCGCUGCCUGUGGGCAUCUCCAGGACUUGCGCACCCGAAACACCUCGGGGUGCCCCGCAGCACCUUGGGGUGCCCCAAUAACACCCCCAAGGCGCCCCAUAGCACCCUUGGGUGCCCCAUAGCACCUUUGGGUGCCCUAUAACCACCUCAGGGCGCCCCCUACCACCCCUUAGACCACCCCCUACCACCUUGGGGCACCCCAUAACACCCUCAAGGCACCCUGUAGCACCUUUGGGUGCCCCAUAACACCCCUUAGACCACCCCCUACCACCUCAAGGUGCCCCAGAGCACCCUCAAGACACCCCA